AUGAGGAGACAAUUGAACAUCUGUGUAGCCGCAAAACAGGCCGGACGGAUAGAGCAUCCCACGCCUUCCCAUGAUGCCUCUCCCUUGGCGUCCAUUAACCCAUUCCAUCCUGUGAGACUGUGGAAAUUAUUAGGGUGGGUCUUCUUGCAUAAGACAUGGGCCUUAAAUCACUCAUCAUUACAAACACACACACACACACACACACACGAUCCAUCCCAGCUGGAGUCUCUGUUUAACCCUCCUUAAGUGUGUAAUCUGUCACUCUGACACCUUCACUAUGGAUCUUGUCUUCAUGAAUUUCACGAAACAACCAGCCAGACACAAAGAAAUAUAUUCCCAAAUAUUCAUACAUUUCUGAAUUGAAAUUGUAUUAAAUAUAACUUUCUAUCAUAUUCUGAUCCUUAUAUAUAAGUCCAUGGAAAAAUUGAAUUCCGAUCGUUUAUAAAUGUAAUAACACACCCCUUCUCAACAUGUUGCACACUUUGAGUUUUCUUUCAAGUUUACCUACUGUUAAAGCCUAAACUAUAUUAAAGAGAUAGUCCACCCUAAAAUUUAAAUUCUGUCAUCAUUUACUCACCCUCAUGUAAUUUCAAACUCGUAUGAAUAAAAAAAAAAAAAGCCAUCUAAUGGGAGUCAAUGGCUACCAGCAACUGUUUGGUUACCAGCGUUUUUCAGAAUAUCUUCUCUUGUGUUCAACAGAUGAAAGAAAUUCAUACGGGUUUGGAACACUUUGAAGGGGUGUAAAUGAUGCCAUAAUUUUCAUUUUUGGGUGAACUGUCCCUUUACUAUGACGGUGUUUUAGCACCAUGUAAAAAAAUAAUUACGAGAUUAAAGUCAUAAUAUUUUGAGAAAAGAGUUGCAGAAAUAUGAGAUUAAAGAUUCACUUUCAGAAUAAAAAAUUACUAAUAUUUUACUCACCCUCUUGUCAUCCAAGAUGUUCGUCUUUUUUUCUACAGUCGCAAAUAAAUUAAGGUUUCUAAAUAAAAUAUUCCAGGAUUUUUCUCCAUAUAAUGGACUUCAGUGGGAGCCAACAGGUUGAAGCUCCAAAUUGCAGUUUUCAUUGCAUUCUUACUUCAACUUUUAGAACGUUUUUAUUGAUGUUUUGUUAAAAAGCGUGAAGAAUAAAGGGUUGGACGCCACAGACGUUAUUUGUGGAGUAGGUGGUGUAAUUUUCAGAUUAAUUCAAUGUAUUCACACAAUAUACUACUUUAUUCUCAAAAUAUUACAGAGAUUAAUCUCAUAUUGCCGCAAUUUUACUAUUACUUUAUUCUUAUAAUUUUUACGUAAUUCUCAAAAUUCAAUCUCUUAAUGCUACAACUUUAUUCUCCAAAUGCAUUUUAGCAGACACUUUUAUCCAAAGCAACUUACAGUGCACUCAGGAUAAAAAAUUUUUACCUAACAUGUGCUCCCUGGGAAUCAAACCCACAACCUUUUAGACUGCUAACACUGAGCCACAGGAACACUGUAAUAUAAUAAUUUAAUAUACAC
rnacentral:lncRNA from 1 species